rnacentral:rRNA from 11 species
UGAAAAUACAAAACUCCCUUAAAGGUACCAGAUCCCCUCUGCUCUUGGAAACUAAGCAGGAUCUGCCCUAGGUAGUACCUGGAUAUGAGACUGUCAAUGAAUACCUUAGGUUAUAUUUCAA